rnacentral:lncRNA from 1 species
AUGCUGCCAGAGCCAGAGCCCAGGCCUGGUGCUCCUUCCUGGUCCUCUGCCCUCCUCACAGCACUUCUCACCGUGCCUGUCCCUUCUGUGCUCCUGCCCAGGUCCUUCUGCUGGGAGCACCACCCUUGGCAGGCAGCGGAGGCAGCUCCAUCUCAGGACACCAUCUGCGUCAUCUGCCUGGAGCCCGUGGGGGACAGCACGUCCUACCACACCAUGGUGUGCCCAGUGUGCAAACAGGCCUCGUUCCACCGGGGCUGCAUCAGGAAACAGGCCAUGCAUGCUGCCAUCCUGUGCUACUUCUGCCCCGUCUGCAGUGAAAAGGCGUGAUUCUGCUCAGAAAUGACCAUCAUGGGAAUCCAAACCCCAGUCAGGUUGGUGUCCUUCUGCCCAGCUCUGCAGACACUCAGGCACAGGUGCUGUGCCUGCCCAGGCCUGGGUCUUUGCUGUCCUGUGAGCACUGGUCUCAGCUUCAUGGAGAAGCUGGGAAUGAGCUCAAGGUGGAUGAGCAGGGAUGCCCUGGAUCUGCCUCGCGCCUAGGGCGCCGGGGGCUCGUCACUUUCCCUCCUUUCUCUGGCAGACAACCAGCUUGGUGGGAUGACAAAACAUAGCCAUCUCUGCGAGAGAGGCACAGGCGCUGCGAUGCCAGCGAGUGCCUUUACCAAGAAGGCAGGGAAGAGACAGAGGAAGAGGGGUGAGUGACCUCUGCAGUCUUCUGGGGCUCUCUGUGGGAUCUCAGCCUCACCACAGGCUGGGGGAGCAAGGAUUGAGCACCAGAGCUGUGCUGGCUACUCCCUGCCUCGGCUUGCUUCGUCCUCACAGCCACAACCCGUUUGCUUCCCCUGGCAGCUGCUCCUCUGCAGCUAGUGUGCCGCAGAAGGCACCCACCGGCACUGAUCUUCCUUGGCCUCCAGCACAAGCACCUGGGAGUGCGACACCUGCACUGGCUUGUGCACCGGUAAGAGGCAAAGAGCCGCAUGCUGCUGGACUGGGGCCAGGCAAGGCCUGGCAGCGGGUGCUCAGAGCAGCCUUGCCACAGACUCUCUGUCCCAUGAGGGAUGGCAGCCUGUCCUGCCCUGGGGCUGCAGGUUCAUCCUGCUGACCUUCCUGUCUCUCCUUACAGCCUCCCACACUGACUCUGAGCUUGCCGGCCCCAGCACUUUCAGUCAGGAGGCACCAGGGCCAUCCCACAGCAUUUCAGGACCUGAAAACAUCAGCUCUGGCCCCACCAGCCAGGCAGCAUCGGGCCCGUCAUGCAG